GACGAAGGGGGCUAGCGUUGUUCGGAAUUACUGGGCGUAAAGCGCGUGUAGGCGGUUGCCCUAGUCAGGUGUGAAAGCCUCGAGCUUAACUCAAGAAAUGCACUUGAUACUGGGCGACUAGAGGACCGGAGAGGAUAGUGGAAUUCCCAGUGUAGUGGUGAAAUACGUAGAGAUUGGGAAGAACACCAGUGGCGAAGGCGGCUAUCUGGACGGUUACUGACGCUAAGACGCGAAAGCGUGGGGAGCAAACAGG
rnacentral:rRNA from 1 species